UAGGGCUAUGGUUUGGAGAUGGUUUGAGUGUGUCCCCAAAGGCCCAGGUGCUACUGGAACUGGUCCCCAGUGUGGUGUAUUGAGGCUGUGGACCUUUAAGAGGCGGGGCCUAGUAUGUGGUGAUCUGUUCCCAGGCACCACCCUUGGAAAAGAUUGAUGUCAAUCUCAAAGGAGUGAGCAAGGUCUCGAGGAACUGGAUGAGUCACUUUGAGAAUGGGGUGUUAUAAAAGAGAGGCCACCCAGGUCUUUGGUCUCUUCCACAGGUACUCACAAUGUGGUCACCUUCUGAUGCCCUCUGCCAGGCUGUGAUGCAACAUGAGGCCGUCGCCAGACAUAGCUGCCUGAACUUGGACUUUUCAGCCCCCAACACAGUGAGCCCAAACAAACCUCUUUCCUUUAUAAAGCACCUGCUCUCAGGAACACAGUUCUUUGUAAGAUGACUGCUGAGUUUCAGCGUCCACCACCAUCAAGAGAACAGGCUCUGGCCUCGGGGAAACAUGCCCAUCUCCUGAAGCUAUGCUCACAGUGUCCUUCAGAGAGGGAACAACACAGACUUCUUGUGCUCAGGAACUAGACAGCUCUUCUGUAUUACACGUUGGGACCAUAAUAACCAGCAAGAUGGCCCAAGAAAAGCACCAAGCAAUGCAAAACCAUGUCACUGAAAAGACUAUGAAAAGGACACUUGUUUAUAGAAGGAGCUGGAACACCCUGUUGGAACGUGGCCUUGUUCACCCUCAAGCACAGGAGCAUGCACAUUGGUGACUCAUUAUUUUUCCCACUGUGCACAUCCACAAAAGCACCGUGAGUACUUUUUUGGGGGUGAUCAUAAAUUGUAGUGAGUAGGUGAAUUCACAAAUACAGAACCCUGAAAAAUGAGGAUCAACUGGGUAUCAUUUUAUGCAAGAAUGCAAACGGUGACUCAAGAUACCCAUGUGGAGAAAUUUCUAGAAUAUUCCCCAGGGGCCUUGAUGGUCACAAACAGACUAUGCAGGAAAGUACAGAAUUGUGUAAAAAUCAGUACAAGGAUGAAUCAAUUUCUUAUGCACAAAUAUUUGGAACAUGGUUAUCUGAGCUCAUCUCAGCUCCUGAGAAUCACAUCUCCCUGUAUCUGGUUGGCUGUCUAACAAAACAUCUGCCACCUUCAAAUCUUGGGUUGAUAUGUGAAGAUACCCCAAAUCAGUCCCUGCCAUGAGGAAAAUCUGUUUAUUUGUUGUUAUAGCUGUUAGUAUCUGCCACACACAAGUCACACAGUUGACACAGUGUGACUCACGCAGUGUAGACAAAGCAACAUGGCAGAGUGAAUUCAGUCUUUGCAACUAAAGGCCCUGGAGGUCCAGUGCUCAUUGGCCUUCUGGCCUGAGGCAAACCACUCUCCAUCUUGUCAUCCACCCGAGGGAUGUAGCUUCAGCUUUAUUUGGUACGCUCUGCUUUUAGGGAAAAAUAAAUAAAUAAAGGCCUUGGUUAAUUUUGAGAGGCAUUGCAUUUUUCCAUAAUUUUAACAUGUAAGAAAAUAUGGUUGCUAUGACGAAUAAACAAGGCCAUAUACAUCACCAAGCCUGGUGCUGGGCUCCUAGUUUGCAUAACCUGGCCAAAUGCCACUCAAGUGCAAGACUGUGAGCCAAGGUAAAUCUUUCAUCUUUAUAAG